AGUCGACGAGAAGCCGGAGCAUCUGGUGAGUAAAGUGGCGUACGGGUGAGUAACACGUGGAUUAUCUACCUCUUAGUGGGGAAUAACGCUGGGAAACUGGCGCUAAUACCGCAUAAGCUCGUGAGAGGAAAGCAGCAAUGCGCUGAGAGAGGAGUCCGCGGCCGAUUAGCUAGUUGGCAGGGUAAAGGCCUACCAAGGCAAAGAUCGGUAGCCGGCCUGAGAGGGCACACGGCCACACUGGCACUGAAACACGGGCCAGACUCCUACGGGAGGCAGCAGUGGGGAAUCUUGCACAAUGGGGGAAACCCUGAUGCAGCGACGCCGCGUGAGCGAUGAAGCCCUUCGGGGUGUAAAGCUCUUUCGGCAGGAACGAUAAUGACGGUACCUGAAGAAGAAGCUGCGGCUAACUACGUGCCAGCAGCCGCGGUAAUACGUAGGCAGCGAGCGUUGUUCGGAGUUACUGGGCGUAAAGAGUGCGUAGGUGGCUCUCUAAGUUUGGUGUGAAAUCUCCCGGCUCAACUGGGAGGGUGCGCCGAAAACUGGAGGACUAGAGUGUGGGAGAGGAAAGCGGAAAUCCUGGUGUAGCGGUGAAAUGCGUAGAUAUCAGGAGGAACACCUGCGGUGUAGACGGCUUUCUGGACCACUACUGACACUGAGGCACGAAAGCGUGGGGAGCAAACAGGAUUAGAUACCCUGGUAGUCCACGCCCUAAACGAUGCACACUUGGUGUGAGCCAUUCAUUUGGUUCGUGCCGGAGCUAACGCGUUAAGUGUGCCGCCUGGGG
rnacentral:rRNA from 1 species